AAUUCUUAUUAAAAAACUCAUUAAUAAUUCAUGAAGAAAACACAACAUAAGCGUGUCGUAUCUGUAUAUGUGAUACAGAUUCAUGUUGAUUUACAUAAACUUUAACUUUGAUUUUCUCGGCUUAGACAACGUUUAUUUUUAAAAUUACUUCGCCAAUGAACUCAUAAGAUGAGUCGUUUUUUAAGCCAUUUACAACAUUCGCGUCCGUGUUGUAUCGGAUAUACAAACUCUCGCCUUCGGCUCGAGUCUGUAUAUCCGAUACAACACGGCCGCUCAUGUUGUAAAUAGUACUAAGAACCCAAAUGCAUCUACAACAUUAGUAUUCAGUUCUAUAAUAAGAACAAUUUCUCUUCUUUUUCUUUCUUGUAAAUACAUAUAUAUUUUUUUUAAAUAUUGUAGUGACUGACUGUAAAUAAUUUAUUACAUAAUAUAAUACAAACUAGCAUAACUCCUGAAUAUAAAGUCUACGAAGAUUUCUAGUAGGUCUCUAUAGCCCGCACUUAUUGUAAAUAUACCACGUAUAAAUUUAUAAUUGUACAUGGGGAAAAUUUUAAAAAUAAAAUAAAUAAAUAAAUAAAAAAUUAAGAAAAAAUACUGUAAAGUAAAUGGAUAUUUGAUAGGCCAUUUCAUGCUAAUUUUUGGCAUUUUUAAAAAUGGUAGUUCAACUUUAAAACAUCAACAGCGCAGUCAAUAUUAAGUUGGUCCUUUCGGAAUACCAUGAAACUUAUUUCAGUGGAAUAUCUUUAGUGAAUAUCUUUAUCUUUAUCUUUAGUGUUUACGUUACAGGAAAUCAAACAGUGUAUAGUUUUUUUGGGACACCCGGUAUAUCCCCACGUACAUUUGGUGUCUUAAUCAUGGCGAACUUCUAUUGUCCAACAUUGUUAAACUGGCUUCAUUUUCGGGUAGCCUCGCAGUAGCUCGGAAGAGCGAUUUUCAUUGGCUCGAUUUGACAAUUCCUUUUGUGUUUACAACAAUGAAUUGCUUCGUUCUUUAGAAAACCCCCCAUCCAAUUGGAGACGACCUUCCGAGGCACUGCGAGGCUUCCCUCAUUUUCUGCAACAGUGAGUUGCCCUAUUCAGUGCAAUUAUGAGAUCAAGGUUCAAUAAUCAUGCACAAAUGAGAGACAAAAUAUUACAUGCACACAACACAAAAACUACAAGAUUAUGAAAGUUUUAUUUUGGACAUACCAGCUCCUGCACAGCUCGUCGUCGUCUUUGACUUUUUUCGUCGUUC